rnacentral:misc_RNA from 1 species
GCACCUCCACUGAACUUCUGAUGACUAGAUCUUUUCCCCUUACAGUUGGAUCCUGCCACGUUGUCCCGACUCCUGAGCAGCGGCCGAGAGAGAUGCUAAGGGAAAGGACUUCCAGAUACUUCCUAACGGCCUAGAGAGCGCCUGACAGAGAGGAGUUCCAGGUCUGUAACAGAGAGUGAGGCCGUGAGGGAGGGAAUCCAGAAGGUUGAGAGAGGGAGAUGGGGGGCGGCGUGUGCUUGAGAC